rnacentral:rRNA from 1 species
UACGUAGGGGGCAAGCGUUGUCCGGAAUCAUUGGGCGUAAAGAGCGUGUAGGCGGCCAGAUAAGUCCGCUGUGAAAUCUCGAGGCUCAACUUCGAGCUGUCGGUGGAAACUGUCUGGCUAGAGUCCGGAAGAGGAGAAUGGAAUUCCUGGUGUAGCGGUGAAAUGCGCAGAUAUCAGGAGGAACACCGGUGGCGAAGGCGGGUCUCUGGGCCGAUACUGACGCUGAGGAGCGAAGGCGUGGGGAGCGAACAGG